AAAAAUUUGAGCUUCUCCCGCUGCAUUUCCGCCGAUAGACAGUUAUUUAAGAUCUAUUGCAAUUUUCAUUUCAUGUAGAGUGUUAUCACGUUUAAUGGACAACGUUUGAAAAUCAAUGGGGCCGCAUAACGAUAAAGUUACAUGUACGGUCGACAGAAACCGAAAUCCUUUCGGAUCAAGAGAACCCAAUAUGCGCAUCCAAAAUAACGGAAAACACAAGAGGACCCGCAAAAAAAAAAGAAUUUAAGGAUGAUUAUCAUAAGACAGCAACCGAAAUCCCACGGUUUCAUACCAUUUGUCAUUUAAGUGACCAGUAAAUGAGUAAAUGACCAUAAUAGCUAACACUUGAAAAAGUCGCCAGUUCCGGUCGAACUAAGCAGAAGCUCUUAAAAAAGAUACCGGGAAGGGGGAGAAUUAAGCGAUACAAUUCAACGACCUGUUUGAUUCGGCGAUGACUGCAAAUGCAAAAUUUAAAAGGCACUACGUCCACUUUACAAAUCUAUCGGGCUUUAUGAUGAACCCAGAAGGAGGACAUCCUUCCACGGAACCAGAUAUUGAAGGACUAUCUGUGCCGAAUUACUUUAAAUUUAGAACAUUUUGUAUUGUUUCGUAUUGUAGUGAUAUAGUUUUAAAAAUAUUUUUUUAUUAAAUAAAGAAUAAGAAUGAAUAAGAUUUUUUGUAAAUCGUAUUUAAUUAGCUGAAAUUUUUUUAAUUCAAGAGGAAACUAUUUCUUAAUUGCUGGCAUCCCUUCAAAAUAUACAGAAUUGACUAAACUGGUUGAAAGCUCAAAAUGUAUAAAAGCUUAUUGCUCACGCUUUGUGUAAAGCGCCCAAACUUAAAACUAAGUGGAGACACUUUUCUUGAAACUGUAUGGAUUUUUAUACAGAAUAGAGUAACUUUGGUUACCGUGUACGUAUUGCCCCGGACAAGAUUGGCAUGGAAUCGUCGGAUAAUAUGUAAACGUGCUGUUUAUUGUUAUUUUUGACUGAAAUUGCCAAUCGGAAAAUCUACAUUCAAUUUUCUGCAAAAGCUUUUCAAAUCUUUUUUUUUAUUAUUUUCUGCAUUUUCUUCAUCACAUCCAAAAAGAUCCUUCACAACAGCCUUCCCAAUUUGUGCUUCUCCUGUCGCUCUGCUUUUGUUUACCAAAGCCGAAACAAUCCGUAAAGAAAAAACAUUCUUAGCAAAAGCUUUCUGAAACUGUGUUUUUCUGUCUCUGUUUACCAGAGCCGGAAAAAUUUGAAAGUAUUCUUAGAAACAGCCUACCCAUCCAGAAGGCUUAUUCAAAACAAAAAUCUGUGCUUCUUAAGCCAAUUCUGUCUUUUUUUUUAAUUUUAUUAAUCCUAAUCUGGCUCUGUUUUCACCUUUCUUACCAAGCUGUGUACUUUAAUUUGAACAAA